rnacentral:rRNA from 1 species
UACGAAGGGGGCUAGCGUUGUUCGGAAUUACUGGGCGUAAAGCGCACGUAGGCGGAUCUUUAAGUCAGGGGUGAAAUCCCGGGGCUCAACCCCGGAACAGCCUCUGGUACUGGGGAUCUCGAGUCCGAGAGAGGUGAGUGGAAUUCCGAGUGUAGAGGUGAAAUUCGUAGAUAUUCGGAGGAACACCAGUGGCGAAGGCGGCUCACUGGCUCGGUACUGACGCUGAGGUGCGAAAGCGUGGGGAGCAAACAGGAUUAGAUACCCGUGUAGUCCCUGAGCGGG